rnacentral:rRNA from 1 species
AACCCGGRCCMAGGRRUYUAGCMUGCGCGCGAGUCMUUGGGAGUYAAUGUUAAACCCAAAGGCGCAAUGAAAGUGAACAGCGUCGGCUUCGGUCGACCGCAGGGAAGAUGGCCGCCGGUCCGUCCGUCGGCCCGCAUUCCCRAGGCGUUUCGAGAAAUGCCUCCGUUGCGAUUAUCGAGACGCACUGAGAGCGCGCACGCUGGGACCCGAAAGAUGGUGAACUAUGCCUGGUCAGGUCGAAGUCAGGGGAAACCCUGAUGGAGGACCGUAGCGAUUCUGACGUGCAAAUCGAUCGUCUGAACUGGGUAUAGGGGCGAAAGACUAAUCGAACUWUYUAAUASYUGGUUCCWUCCRAAGUUUC